UGAACGCUGGCGGCAUGCCUUACACAUGCAAGUCGAACGGCAGCACGGGUGCUUGCACCUGGUGGCGAGUGGCGAACGGGUGAGUAAUACAUCGGAACGUACCCAGUAAUGGGGGAUAACGCACCGAAAGGUGCGCUAAUACCGCAUACGACCUACGGGUGAAAGCGGGGGACCGUAAGGCCUCGCGUUAUUGGAGCGGCCGAUGUCUGAUUAGCUUGUUGGCGGGGUAACGGCCCACCAAGGCGACGAUCAGUAGCUGGUCUGAGAGGACGAUCAGCCACACUGGGACUGAGACACGGCCCAGACUCCUACGGGAGGCAGCAGUGGGGAAUUUUGGACAAUGGGGGCAACCCUGAUCCAGCAAUGCCGCGUGUGCGAAGAAGGCCUUCGGUUGUAAAGCACUUUGUCGGGUAAGAAUCUUCUGGUGAAUAUCCCAGGAGGAUGACGGUACCCGAACGAAUAAGCACCGGCUAACUACGUGCCAGCAG
rnacentral:rRNA from 1 species